rnacentral:rRNA from 1 species
UACGUAGGGGGCGAGCGUUAUCCGGAUUCACUGGGUGUAAAGGGAGCGUAGACGGCCAUGCAAGCCAGGGGUGAAAGCCCGGGGCCCAACCCCGGGACUGCCCUUGGAACUGCAUGGCUGGAGUGCGGGAGGGGCAGGCGGAAUUCCUGGUAUAGCGGUGAAAUGCGUAGAUAUCAGGAGGAACACCGGCGGCGAAGGCGGCCUGCUGGACCGCGACUGACGUUGAGGCUCGAAAGCGUGGGGAGCGAACAGG